UCUUCGAUGGUCUAGUGGUCAUGAUUUCCGCUUGUCAAGGUACCUGUUUCUUCCAAGCGCGGGAGACCGGGGUUCGAUUCCCCGUCGGAGAG
rnacentral:tRNA from 1 species